GGUUGGCUUCUUCUGCGGCAGCUGCAGUGCAGGUCCUGGUGUCAGGCCCUGAGCAGAGCAUCAGCAACUUCAUGCCUUGGCAGCUUUCCGGGUGGCAGCCUGGGCACCGCGGCCCCCGGCCAAACGGCAGCUUAUUAAUGUUGCUUCAGAAGGCAAGAUAUAAAGUCUAUGCUGCUUGGAGAUAAAAGGACUUAAAGCAGGUCUCCACACAGAUGGCUCACCAGUCGAUGCUAAGGACACAGGACCCAAACAUUGCUGAAACUUCCUUCAUAAGGAAAUCACUCUCCAGAACCAACUGUCCAUCUGGAUCUUCACCAGGUUCAGAGAGUUCCUAAAAAACUGCUCCCCGAUCUAUGUUGGAUGGCUCCGCACCCUUGUCCGGUUCCACUAUGUUGGAUGGCUCCGCACCCUUGUCCGGUUCCACAGAUAACCAGUUGGGUCUCUGAGGCCUGGCUCCAGGGAUCCCUUUGUCAGUUCACACCAGAUAAAAUUGAGACUUUCACUUUCCUUUUACUCUUCAUUAUUUCUAAAAUGACUCACCUCAGUUCUUAGAGUCUCCCCUCCACUAAAAUCUGGCCUCAGUUCCCCUCCUCACUGACCAACCCGGAGGUUUAAGUUUUUCUUACAGAUAACUCCAAUGACCGUCAGCUCACCCAUGUCCAACGACAGCACAGCCAACUGCACAUCAGGCUAACCCCCGGCCCCUAGGUUGAUUCGUGGCCCUAAUUCAGCAGGAAGUAGAUAUAGAAGACAGACUCU